rnacentral:lncRNA from 1 species
CCAAGCCUACCCUAGUUGCCAGAGAUACGGCCAACUCACCCUGGAAGGAUGGCCUGUUUUCGGACUGGGAACCCCAGCAAUGAAUCAUUAACUCCUUCAGUUUUUCCAAGCCGGGAGUCUCAGGGCUACCUGGAGGCAGCUCUGUCAGUGGAGGACGACUCUGCCUGUCACACACUGUUUCCCGGAUUAGUGAAGUCUUGUCUACCACUGGAGUUGGGGGAUAACAUAAGGAAUUCAUGAAAUGAGGGGACAGCCCAUUCUAUCGCGGACAGGAGCAGGGAGAGUCAUCCAAGUGAGAGAUGAUGGUGGAAGAAGGUAUCAGAUCCCGUGGAAUUGGAGUUAGAGGCUGCUGUGGGCCACCUGCCUCCAUCAUUGAGAACUAAACUUGGAACCUCUGGAAGAGCAACAAGUGCUCUUAACUACGGAGUCAUCUCCCCAGCCCUCUGUAUCCUUAUUUAAAACUUGACAUUCUAAUUUUUUCUGAGAUGGAUUUAUGAGGUGUGCACUGAAUUGCAGCCUCCUGUUCUCCCCUAGGGCCCUGCACCGAGAUGAAGCCAUUUCCCUCUCCUCUCUGCAACACUCUGACUCUGAAACGCUUUGCUGCCUAACUUUUCUGAAACUACUAGGCCGUGGAGUUUGCCUAUGGCACCAUCAUGUCAUUAGCGCCAAUGGUGACAAGAACUGGCCUUUCUCCUAGUUGGUAAUUCAUAAGGCAUUGUCAGCAAAUUGCCACAGACACACUGCAGAUGAAGAAAUUGGAAACUCCCCUGUUUUGUUUUGACCUGGAU